rfam:Cicer arietinum chromosome Ca6, whole genome shotgun sequence.
AUACUUACCUGGAUGGGGUCAAUGGGUGAUCAAGAUGGCCCAUGGCCUAAGCAAGUGACCUUCAUUGCACAUAGAAGGGGUGCUAGCUUAAGGUCUACCCAUGUGGUGGAGCCUACAUCAUAAUUUGUUGUAGUGGGGGCCUGCGUUCGCGCGGCCCCUUC